rnacentral:rRNA from 1 species
GCGGCCUAUCAGCUUGUUGGCGAGGUAACGGCUCACCAAGGCAACGACGGGUAGCUGGUCUGAGAGGAUGGCCAGCCACAUUGGGACUGAGAUACGGCCCAGACUCCUACGGGAGGCAGCAGUGGGGAAUCUUGCGCAAUGGCCUAACGGCUGACGCAGCGACGCCGCGUGUGGGAUGAAGCUCCUCGGAGUGUAAACCACUGUUGCCCGGGACGAAUAGCUCGAUUAAUCGAGCCUGACGGUACCGGGUGAGGAAGCACCGGCUAACUCCGUGCCAGCAGCCGCGGUAAUACGGGGGGUGCGAGCGUUGUCCGGAAUCACUGGGCGUAAAGGGCGCGUAGGUGGUUUGAUAAGGGUGUGGUGAAAGUCCGGGGCUCAACCCCGGAUCUGCCGUGCCGACUGUCAAACUCGAGGACUGUAGAGGCAGACGGAAUUCCGGGUGUAGCGGUGGAAUGCGUAGAGAUCCGGAGGAAGACCGGUGGCGAAGGCGGUCUGCUGGGCAGUUUCUGACACUGAGGCGCGACAGCGUGGGGAGCAAACAGGAUUAGAUACCCUGGUAGUCCACGCCGUAAACGAUGGGUACUAGGUGCCUGGGGGAGCGACCCUCUGGGUGCCGGCGCUAACGCAGGAAGUACCCCGCCUGGGGAGUACGG